UAACGUGGACCCGUAAUCCGGGUUGCGGACAGUGUCUGGUGGGUAGUUUGACUGGGGCGGUCUCCUCCUAAAGAGUAACGGAGGAGCACGAAGGUUGGCUAAUCCUGGUCGGACAUCAGGAGGUUAGUGCAAUGGCAUAAGCCAGCUUGACUGCGAGCGUGACGGCGCGAGCAGGUGCGAAAGCAGGUCAUAGUGAUCCGGUGGUUCUGAAUGGAAGGGCCAUCGCUCAACGGAUAAAAGGUACUCCGGGGAUAACAGGCUGAUACCGCCCAAGAGUUCAUAUCGACGGCGGUGUUUGGCACCUCGAUGUCGGCUCAUCACAUCCUGGGGCUGAAGUAGGUCCCAAGGGUAUGGCUGUUCGCCAUUUAAAGUGGUACGCGAGCUGGGUUUAGAACGUCGUGAGACAGUUCGGUCCCUA
rnacentral:rRNA from 1 species